rnacentral:rRNA from 1 species
ACGAACGCUGGCGGCGUGCUUAACACAUGCAAGUCGAACGGUGAAGCUCCAGCUUGCUGGAGUGGAUCAGUGGCGAACGGGUGAGUAACACGUGAGCAACCUGCCCCUGACUCUGGAAUAAGCGCUGGAAACGGCGUCUAAUACUGGAUACGAGAAGGGUCCGCAUGGGCACUUUCUGGAAAGUUUUUCGGUUGGGGAUGGUCUCGCGGCCUCUCAGCUUGUUGGGGGGGUAAUGGCUCACCAAGGCGACGACGGGUAGCCGGCCUGAGAGGGCGACCGGCCACACUGGGACUGGGACGCGGCCCAGACUCCUACGGGAGGCAGCGGUGGGGAAUAGUGCACAAUGGGCGAAAGCCUGAUGCAGCGACGCCGCGUGGGGGAUGACGGCCUUCGGGUUGUAAACCUCUUUCAGCAGGGAAGAAGCGAAAGUGACGGUACCUGCAGAAGAAGCACCGGCUAACUACGUG